GCAGGAUUCCUUUUCCACAAAGACCUUGCACAGACUCACCUCGAUGAUUUACACCAUGCUUAUUUGAAAGUUUAGCAGGCAUAUGACCUUGUCACAGCUGCAGGCCCUUAGGAGAACUUGGCUGUUGCUGCUGGGCUUCCUAGGCUCAGAAAUCCUCCACCUUCUUAAGGAUCUCUCAGCCUCCUCAUCUUGGCUGAGUCCUUUCGGUACAUAAGACUGAUCACCAGCUGAAAAAGAACUAUGAGAUCUCUCUGGGGAAAUAAGCAAAAGAAAGUGCAUGCCAAUCACCACCGAGACAGAGGAAGAAGACUCUGCUGAUUUUAAAGGUAUAGCGUGGCUCCAGGAAGAGCUGGUCUCAGGACAGAAGGCUCAGGUUGGAGACAGGAGAACCAUAAUUUCCUGAGUGAAGAUGAUCCUGCACUGUCAGCAGAAUGCUGAGCACUGAAUCUCAUAAUCUCUGAUCUAAGCAACAAAUGGACUGGAGACAAAA